ACGGCUCAGUAACACGUGGCUAAUCUGCCCUUGGGACCAGAACACCCCCGGGAAACUGGGGCUAAUUCUCGAUAGGUGAAGAACUCUGGAAUGAGUCUUUGCCAAAAAGUUGUUAAGGUUAUGCUCUUUGACAACGCCCAAGGAUGAGGCCGCGACCGAUCAGGUUGUUGGUGAGGUAAUGGCUCACCAAGCCUUUUACCGGUGCGGGCCGUGAGAGCGGGAGCCCGGAGAUGGGCACUGAGACAAGGGCCCAGGCCCUACGGGGCGCAGCAGUCGCGAAAACUUUGCAAUAAGCGAAAGCUUGACAGGGCUAUCCCGAGUGCCAUCCGCUGAGGAAGGCUUUUACCCAGUCUAGAACGCUGGGGGAAUAAGGAGAGGGCAAGUCUGGUGUCAGCCGCCGCGGUAAUACCAGCUCUCCGAGUGGUGUGGAUGUUUAUUGGGCCUAAAGCAUCCGUAGCUGGCUAAGUUAGUCCCUUGUUAAAUCCACCGAAUUAAUCGUUGGAUCGCGGGGGAUACUGCUUGGCUAGGGGACGAGAGAGGCAGACGGUAUUUCCGGGGUAGGGGUGAAAUCCUAUAAUCCCGGGAAGACCACCAGUGGCGAAGGCUGUCUGCUAGAACGCGCCCGACGGUGAGGGAUGAAAGCUGGGGGAGCGAACCGGAUUAGAUACCCGGGUAGUCCCAGCUGUAAACGAUGCAGGCUAGGUGUUUGGACGGCCACGUGCCGUUCUAGUGCCGCAGGGAAGCUGUUAAGCCUGCCGCCUGGGGAGUACGAUCGCAAGAUUGAAACUUAAAGGAAUUGGCGGGGGAGCAC
rnacentral:rRNA from 2 species